AGUUGAAUGGGAUACCUAAAUUUCCCAUAGCAAACUGCUCAGUAACACAUGAUCAACUUACCCUAUAGAGAAAAAUAACCUCGGGAAACUGAGGAUAAUGUUUCAUAAUUGAAUUGGCUUGGAAAAGUUUUUCAAUGAAAAGGAUAAAGAAUGGUUUUUAUCUGCUAUAGGAUAGGAUCGUGUUCGAUUAUGGUUGUUGGUGAGAUAAUGGCUCACCAAGCCGAUAAUCGAUAGGGGCCGUGAGAGCGGGAGCCCCGAGAUGGGUACUGAGACAACGACCCAGGCCUUACGAGGCGCAGCAGGCGCGGAACCUCCGCAAUACACGAAAGUGUGACGGGGUUACCCAAAGUGUUCAAUAGAACUGUGGUAGGUGAGUAAUGUCCCCUACUAGAAAGGAGAGGGCAAGGCUGGUGCCAGCCGCCGCGGUAAAACCAGCUCUUCAAGUGGUCGGGAUAAUUAUUGGGCUUAAAGUGUCCGUAGCCGGUUUAGUAAGUUCCUGGUAAAAUCGGGUAGCUUAACUAUCUGCAUGCUAGGAAUACUGCUAUACUAGAGGGCGGGAGAGGUCUGAGGUACUACAGGGGUAGGGGUGAAAUCUUAUAAUCCUUGUAGGACCACCAGUGGCGAAGGCGUCAGACUGGAACGCGCCUGACGGUGAGGGACGAAAGCCAGGGGAGCGAACCGGAUUAGAUACCCGGGUAGUCCUGGCCGUAAACGAUGCAUACUAGGUGAUGGUACGGCCAUGAGCCGUAUCAGUGCCGUAGGGAAACCGUUAAGUGUGCCGCCUGGGAAGUACGGUCGCAAGGCUAAAACUUAAAGGAAUUGGCGGGGGAGCACCACAAGGGGUGAAGCCUGCGGUUCAAUUGGAGUCAACGCCGGA
rnacentral:rRNA from 1 species